rnacentral:rRNA from 1 species
GUAAAGAGCUCGUAGGCGGUUUGUCGCGUCUGCUGUGAAAACGCGAGGCUUAACCUCGCGCCUGCAGUGGGUACGGGCAGACUAGAGUGCGGUAGGGGAGACUGGAAUUCCUGGUGUAGCGGUGGAAUGCGCAGAUAUCAGGAGGAACACCGGUGGCGAAGGCGGGUCUCUGGGCCGUUACUGACGCUGAGGAGCGAAAGCAUGGGGAGCGAACAGGAUUAGAUACCCUGGUAGUCCAUGCCGUAAACGUUGGGCACUAGGUGUGGGACCCAUUCCACGGGUUCCGUGCCGCAGCUAACGCAUUAAGUGCCCCGCCUGGGGAGUACGGCCGCAAGGCUAAAACUCAAAGGAAUUGACGGGGGCCCGCACAAGCGGCGGAGCAUGCGGAUUAAUUCGAUGCAACGCGAAGAACCUUACCAAGGCUUGACAUACACCGGAAACAUCCAGAGAUGGGUGCCCCGCAAGGUCGGUGUACAGGUGGUGCAUGGUUGUCGUCAGCUCGUGUCGUGAGAUGUUGGGUUAAGUCCCGCAACGAGCGCAACCCUUGUCCUGUGUUGCCAGCGGGUUAUGCCGGGGACUCAUGGGAGACUGCCGGGGUCAACUCGGAGGAAGGUGGGGAUGACGUCAAAUCAUCAUGCCCCUUAUGUCUUGGGCUUCACGCAUGCUACAAUGGCCGGUACAAAGGGUUGCGAUGCCGCGAGGUGGAGCGAAUCCCAAAAAGCCGGUCUCAGUUCGGAUUGGGGUCUGCAACUCGACCCCAUGAAGUCGGAGUCGCUAGUGAU